AUGAUCGAUAUUUCUCUGGGCCACUGUGGAAGCCCAUUGGUCAGGACCUUUCAGGUCAGAGACACGGAGACGGAGGAGGGAUUUGUCUCUGGCUGCCCAACGUCAGGGCUUGGACUGGAAUCUGGGAGCCCCAACGCUACCCCCUGCUCGUUUCUGGAAUAUGCUGGCCGCAAACAAACGCUGAGAACCUUGGCGAGGCCAGGACACAUAAGUUCGGGCUUCAGCUGGCUGCCUGUGGCUCUGCUUCAAUGUUCUGUGCCCAACCCAAGUGGAGCCCUUUCCACGACGCACCCCGAGGGGUUUCUCGUUGCCGGUGCCGGUGCCUUGCUGUUCCUUCUGCAGAGCACGCCUCUCCGAGCUCUGGUUUCUGAAAGCCGACCCACCCCCACCCCCAACCCCUGCCUGCAGGACGGGUCUCUGGCUCUCCCAGGUCAGAGAAGGACACGCUGCAGCUCUGUGGGUGCUGGGUAAAAUGCAGAGUCCUGGGUCCUGCCUUGGGGAAGUCUAGCGUGGACCCCCAGAAUAUCAGCUUGAACAAACAUCUAGAUGGUGGUGAUGCAGAAGAUGCGUGGGGUAUAUCUAGAGGAACACAGGCCUACGUUUGUGGGUUCCGCCCCAUUAGAAACCUUCUUGGUAUGCUAUAUGUUGGCACACCAAACUCUAAUAAAAGAAAUAUACAAAAAAAAUUUUUAAGAGCA
rnacentral:lncRNA from 1 species